rnacentral:lncRNA from 1 species
UAUGAAAAAUGAAAAAAAUAGUCGAUCUUUUAAAAUUAAAAAAAGCAUAAACUGUAGUCAAUUUUUUUAAAGAUAAAUAAAUAUAUUUCAUUUUUUUUGGCUAGUUCUGUUUGUUCAUUUAUUUGAUUAUUUAAUUUUUUUUUUUUUUUUUUUUUUUUUGAGUCCUCCAAACAAAUGUUUUGUCAAAUUCGUGAAUAGCCCAACUUAUUUGGCCUAAUUUACUCUAUUCUCCGUUUUUUUUUCUUUUUCUUUUUUUUUUUUUUUGCUCGGACAGUUAGUCAUAUAUGUAUGUCAAGUAGCGUACAUCUGUAUAUAUAUAUGCAUGUAUAUAAAACUAACACUAGUGUGAAUAUUACAAAAUAAGAUAAAAUAAAAAAAAAAAAAAAAAAAAAAAAAAAAAAAAAAAAAAAAAAAAAAAGUAAGAAAUAAUGGCGCUCUUUUUUUUUAUAUGCAUUCUAUACUUAAAUAUUGUGGUAAAUACAUGGGCAUAUGUUAAUAACAUAAAGGUUCAUAAUUUGAAUAAGAUUAUAAAUAGAAAAGUUGUAAAAAGUUGCAAAAUUAAUAUAAAAAAAUUAAAAUUACAAAACGAUUAUAACUACGAAAAUAAAAAAUUUUAUAAUAACAAUAAUAAUAAUAAUAUUAAUAAUAGACCUGCAACAGCAAAUGAAAAGUCACUAAAUAAAAUAACACUUAUUGGACGAGUUGGGUGCGAACCAGAUAUAAAAAUUUUAAAUGGAGGUGAUAAGGUAGCUACAUUUAGUUUAGCUACUAAUGAAUUUUGGAGAGACAGAAAUACAAACGAAUUAAAAUAUAAAACAGAUUGGCAUAGGAUAGUUAUAUAUGAUCAAAAUGUAGUUGAGUUGGUAGAUAAGUAUUUAAGAAAGGGUAGAAGAGUGUAUAUACAAGGGUCCCUACAUAAUAGACGAUGGUUUAGUAAUGACUUAAAUAGUCAACCAAAACAAAUAACUGAAGUUGUAUUGUCAUAUAAUAAAGGGGAUUUAAUAUUUUUAGAUGAUAGACGUAAUUUCAUGUCUAAAAAUAAUAACAAUAAUAAUAUGCAAUUAAAUAAUAAUAAUAAACAUAUGAACACUAGUAGCAAUGGAAAUAUGUUUGCUGAUGAUGGUACAUACAAUAAUAAGAUAAAUCGUAAUCAUAGUUAUGAAGGAAACCUAUCUGACGACAAUAUUAACGACGACAUUAACGACGACAUUAACGACGAUACUAACGACAAUACUAACGACAAUACUAACGACAAUAUUAAUAAUAAUAUAGAUGGUGAUGAUGAUAGUGAUGAUGAUACUAGUUUUGAUGAUGAGGAGCCUGAUAUUGGAAAUGACGAAGGAGAUACAUAAAAAAAAAAAAAAAAAAAAAAAAA